rnacentral:rRNA from 1 species
CCUACGGGCGGCUGCAGUAGGGAAUUUUGCGCAAUGGGCGAAAGCCUGACGCAGCAACGCCGCGUGAUUGAUUAAGCCCUUCGGGGUGUAAAGAUCUGUCAGUGGGGACGAAACUUGACGGUACCCACAGAUGAAGCACCGGCUAACUCCGUGCCAGCAGCCGCGGUAAUACGGAGGGUGCAAGCGUUGUCCGGAAUCAUUUGGCGUAAAGGGUUCGUAGGUGGUAGUGUAAGGCUGGUGUUAAAUGCAGAAGGUCAACUUCUGUUCGGCAUUGGAUACUGGUAAGCUUGAAUGCGGUAGAGGUAAAGGGAAUUCCUGGUGUAGCGGUGAAAUGCGUAGAUAUAAGGAGGAACACCGGAGGCGUAAGCGCUUUACUGGGCCGUAAUUGACACUGAGGAACGAAAGCCGGGGUAGCAAAUGGGAUUAGAUACCCGGGUAGUC